AUUAGUAAAAAAAACAGAUAAUCAAAUAUUUUGAUAAAUGAUAAUGUGAUAAAGAGUACAGGGAGGUGGAGUGCAUGAUGGGGUGGUCUAGGGCAGUCUCUCUGUGACGUCUCAAGAGGGAACAGUGUAAAGGCCCUGGUGAGAAAUUUCUUGGUGCGCUAGAAGGAGUGAGCAGACCAGACUGCCAGAAUCACAUCUGCUGAACGGGGAGAGUGAUACAACGUAUGUUUGUAGAGGUGGAUAGAUGAAGCAUAUGGUAUCAGGGAUGGAAGGGAAGAUUUAUCUUGAAAGAUGAGUAAGAUUCACCAGACGACAAAGUGGAGAAGCACAUUUCAGGCAGAGAGAACAGCAUGUUCCAAUAAAUGGAGACGUGAACAGCCUGCAAACUGAAAAUUAUCUUCAUUGGGUUUGAAUCUGCUUUCUUAAACCCAGUCACAGCUUGAAUAUUACUGUAGAAGAUGCCUUGAAAUUAAAAAAAAAACAACAUGACCUCCAAUGGAUCUACUCUUUCUAAUGAUCUGGCUGAUUAGAGCUCCUACUUCGUAAGUCUUCUCGUCCUGCUCCUGCUCACCCCAAUAAAAUGCACAAUUCUUGGAGGCA
rnacentral:lncRNA from 1 species